rnacentral:rRNA from 1 species
UCAUAACAAUAACGACUCUCGGCAACGGAUAUCUAGGCUCUUGCAUCGAUGAAGAACGUAGCGAAAUGCGAUACUUGGUGUGAAUUGCAGAAUCCCGUGAACCAUCGAGUCUUUGAACGCAAGUUGCGCCCGAAGCCUUCUGGCCGAGGGCACGCCUGCUUGGGUGUCACACAUC